rnacentral:rRNA from 1 species
GACAGAGGGGGCAAGCGUUGCUCGGAAUCAUUGGGCGUAAAGCGCGUGUAGGCGGUCCGGUAAGUCCGCUGUGAAAGUCGGGGGCUCAACCCUCGGAUGCCGGUGGAUACUGUCGGGCUUGAGUACGGAAGAGGCGAGUGGAAUUCCUGGUGUAGCGGUGAAAUGCGCAGAUAUCAGGAGGAACACCAAUUGCGAAGGCAGCUCGCUGGGACGUUACUGACGCUGAGACGCGAAAGCGUGGGGAGCAAACAGG